GCAUAUCAAUAAGCGGAGGAAAAGAAACCAACAGGGAUUGCCUUAGUAGCGGCGAGUGAAGCGGCAAGAGCUCAAAUUUGAAAUCUGGUACUUUCAGUAUCCGAGUUGUAAUUUGAAGAAAGUUAUCUUGGAGUUGGCCCUUGUCUAUGUUCCUUGGAACAGGACGUCACAGAGGGUGAGAAUCCCGUGCGAUGGGGUGCCCAUUCUAUGUAAGAUACUUUCGACGAGUCGAGUUGUUUGGGAAUGCAGCUCUAAGUGGGUGGUAAAUUCCAUCUAAAGCUAAAUAUUGGCGAGAGACCGAUAGCGAACAAGCACAGUGAUGGAAAGAUGAAAAGAACUUUGAAAAGAGAGUGAAAAAGUACGUGAAAUUGUUGAAAGGGAAGGGUAUUUGAUCAGACUGAUAUUCAGUUAACACUGUUCCUUGUGGAUGGUGCUCUAGCUUUUUAUUGGGCCAGCAUCAGUUUAGGUGGCAGGAUAAGAACUGUUGAACGUGGCUCUUCGGAGUGUUAUAGCUUCAGUUGAUACCGCCUAUCUAGACUGAGGUCUGCGGCUUUGCCUAGGAUGCUGGCGUAAUGGUCUAAUACCCGCCCGUCUUGAAACACGGACC
rnacentral:rRNA from 1 species